rnacentral:tRNA from 1 species
GGCGCUGUAGCUCAAUCGGUAGAGCGCCAGAGCACCCGCGCCGGGAGGUGGUUCCACUGCCGGGCUGGAGUAUUCCGCUGAACAGUGUGCCGCAUUCUGCACAAUCCGGCGCCACGUGUCGCGCUCAAGCGCGAAGAAAGCGGGCGUCGCCUGGUGCUGGCGGCUGAGAGAUGCGGGUUCGAGUCCCGUCAGCGCCA